UUUCUAAAAGAGACACUCUUAAAAACUCAGCAUGCAAGGUGGUUGUGGCGGUGUGUGACUGGCAGCAUUCUGGAGGCCAAGGAAGGAGGUUAAGUGCUGUCUCAGCCUUGGUCAGAGAAGCUUCUGCAGCGGGUGACAAUUAAUGCAAUGAAGAGUAAAAAUGCAGAGAAUCAGUGACUGCUGAGUGGUUAGCGCUAAACAGGACAUCAUGACUCCCUGCAAGGCUCGUGACGAGGAGGGGCAGGAGGAACAUGACAACUUUGAGGAGGGCUGCAGAAUGCCAUCUUCUGGACGCGCGUGGCGGCAGCACCCAUGAACUCACUGUGCAGUGGCUCCCAGAACAAGCGCUGCACACCCUGCACCCCUCAACCUUCUGUCGAAGACGCUCUGGAUGUCCUAGACCUCUCUCUGGAGAUCAGGCUGGCCUCAAACUCAUGGUGAUCCACUUGCCUCUGCCUCCCAAGCACAGAGAUUACAGGGUUAUCCGCACUAGCUGAGGCUCACGGUCCUUGACUGCAUUGCCACAUCUAAGCCUCCACCCGGCUCUUAGCCGUCAUUGGCUGGAAGACCGAGCCGAAACCACGGUGGAAACUUGCAGCUCUCUGGGUAGGGGGUGUGAGCGGUGAGGUCCCCGGAAGGGUGGCUAGGGGGGCCAGGGGUGCAGAGGCCGGGAAGCGGUUUUGCAGCAGGAAUCAGCGGGAGGAAUGUGACAGCCGCG
rnacentral:lncRNA from 1 species